GUCAACUACCCACCGCCUACGCUAACGCUUAGAGGCGGGGGCUUGAAAAAGCCUAGUUGAUUAGCCUGAGUCAUAAAGAAGGCCUCGCACUCUUAAUUGACUACGUUAUAGCAGAAUAUAUAGGUACCAGCGGAUGCUUCACAAGUCCACUGCUCUA
rnacentral:sRNA from 1 species